rnacentral:rRNA from 1 species
ACUCAAAGGAAUAGACGGGGGCCCGCACAAGCGGUGGAGCAUGUGGUUUAAUUCGAUGCAACGCGAAGAACCUUACCUACUCUUGACAUCCUAAGAAGUCGACUGAGAAGUUGAUGUGCCGAAAGGAGCUUAGAGACAGGUGCUGCAUGGCUGUCGUCAGCUCGUGUUGUGAGAUGUUGGGUUAAGUCCCGUAACGAGCGCAACCCUUGCCCUUAGUUGCCAUCAUUUAGUUGGGGACUCUAAGGGGACUGCCGGUGAAGAACCGGAGGAAGGCGGGGACGAAGUCAAGUCAUCAUGGCCUUUAUGAGUAGGGCGACACACGUGCUACAAUGGGGCGUACAGAGGGUAGCGAAACCGCGAGGUGGAGCCAAUCUCAGAAAGCGUCUCGUAGUCCGGAUUGGAGUCUGCAACUCGACUCCAUGAAGUCGGAAUCGCUAGUAAUCGCGAAUCAGCCAUGUCGCGGUGAAUACGUUCCCGGGCCUUGUACACACCGCCCGU